rnacentral:rRNA from 1 species
AUGGACAGAGCAAAAAGUGGAGUGUUGGUUAAAGCAAGCCGCCCUAUUCUAUUACCAGACAAAAUGGAGAGAAGCUCAUCCGCUAGAAAUGCUUUAUUUUGUUUCGUUCCCGUUCUUCAUUUCCUUAUUAUCGAAUCCAUGGGGGACUUGUCAUAUUUAGAAUCUUUCUGCGGUCUGCUCUAUUUACAAUUCUUUCGUACUCUCUUCUCUUUACCACGCGAUAGGUCAGCGAAGCGUGAGCGGGCGCUCUGA